rnacentral:rRNA from 1 species
GACAGAGGUCCCGAGCGUUAGGCGGAAUCACUGGGCUUAAAGCGUGUGUAGGUGGACUUCUAAGUACCUUGUGAAAUCCCACGGCUUAACCGUGGAACUGCUUGGUAUACUGGUUGUCUUGGGCCAUCUAGGGGCUACUGGAACAAACGGUGGAGCGGUGAAAUGCGUAGAUAUCGUUUGGAACGCCAAUGGUGAAAACAAGUAGCUGGGGAUGUGCCGACGCUGAGACACGAAAGCCAGGGGAGCGAACGGG